AUGGAUUCCAUCUUAGCUAACGGAACCUGGGAGAUCACUGACCGUACUUAUGGGUGCAAACCUGUAGGAUGUAAGUGGGUGGUCAAGAAGAAGCUUAGACCUGAUGGUACGAUUGAAAAGUACAAGGCACGGCUUGUGGCUAAGGGUUAUACCCAGAAAGAAGGUGAAUACUUCUUUGAUACUUACUCACCCAUGGCUAGAGUGACCACAAUUCGGGUGCUACUAUCACUGGCUGCCUCACAUGGUCUUCUCGUUCAUCAAAUGGACGUUAAGACGGCUUUCCUCAAUGGAGAGUUGAAGGAGGAAAUUUACAUGGAUCAGCCAGAUGGUUUUGUAGUACCUGGUCAGGAAGGAAAGGUGUGCAAGUUAUUAAAGUCUUUAUAUGGCCUUAAACAAGCUCCUAAGGAGUGGCAUGAGAAGUUCGAAAGAACAUUAACUCCUGUCGGCUUUGUAGUAAACGAUGGUGACAAGUGUGUGUACUAUCGCCAUGGUGGGGGCGAAGGAGUUAUUCUUUGUCUGUAUGUCGACGACAUAUUGAUCUUUGGAACCAAACUUGAUUUAAUCAAGGAGGUUAAGGAUUUCUUAUCUCGCUGUUUUGAGAUGAAGGAUCUAGGAGUAGCUGAUGUUAUCUUAAACAUCAAGCUAUUGAGAGAUGAGAAUGGUGGGAUCACACUGCUUCAGUCUCACUAUGUGGAAAAGGUCUUGAGUCAUUUUGGGUAUAGCGACUGCACGCCUUCUCCAACUCCAUAUGAUGCUACGAGUGCCACGAGGCCUGACAUCUCGUUUGCUGUGAGCAAGCUGAGUCGGUUUGUGUCAAAACGAGGAGAUGAUCAUUGGCAUGCGCUUGAGAGAUUAUGCGCUAUUUGA
rnacentral:rRNA from 1 species